GGGCGCGCGGGGAGCUCAGUCCCCUGGCGUGGGCACAGGCAAGGUGAGGGCUCUGCGGGCGCGCGCCCUGUGGUGGGGCCAUGCUCCGCCCUGGGUCCCUACCCUGGUGGAGGCGCCUGGGCCCUCAGUGCCGUCCUGGGACAGACCUGUGUCCCUAAGGCCUGAGACGCUGGGCCCGCCCUGAAGGCGUGUCAUCACGCGGGGGGCGGGAGGGGACCCUGGCCAGGCAGUGCCUGAAUGAACCCGUUCCGUGCUGCCCCCUUCCCAGCCCUGAGCAUGGGGACGCCAGGCUUCCAGCCACAGGGGCAGACUAACCCCGGAGCCCACUCCCUGCCUGGGUCUGUGUGAGGAAGAGCCCGGGCCGGAGACUAGGAGGCAUGGAACAAAGUGUUUGCAUCUGCGUGGCCGCAUCAGGAGAAAUUCCUGGGAGGCUCGGGACCUCGGGGCGACCCCUGGGUGCUCAAAGGGCUGCUGCGAGAACAGAGGGAGAGCUCUCCAAACCCCAGCACGGUUCUCAGUCAUCAUGAGACCGGAACACAGAGGCCCACACACGACCGCUGGACAUGUUUAAGAAAAUGCCAAUGUAUUUCCACUAGAAAAAUCCUCUUUUCCUAAAUACAUGUCUCUAUGUUGAAUAAGUUAAAAUAGCAUCUCC
rnacentral:lncRNA from 1 species